GACAGGCUGGAAGAAAACAUGGAGAUGACCUUCAUACAUUGAUGCAGUUUUCGAUGUCGAGGAAAAGCUUCAAGACCAAAUCGACGAGGACGCAGUUACUUCUUACUUGUUUUUGCUGAAAGGAACUAGCGUGGAUAUUGAUGCUGUCGUGGUGCGAAUAUUCAGCGGCGGGUGCUGCAGUUUUUUAACUAAAUCGGAGAUGCGGUAAAAAGGCCUUUUCUAAAUUUAAGAUUGCCGACACGGCGCUUUUUGAUAUUUUUAAACUACAUGGACGCAUCGAUUCCGAAAAAUAAAUCAGGAGGAGCGUUGAAUUAAGUCACAAUAAUGAAAAAAUAAUUAAUAUAAAUACAUACAAUGUAUGUACAUAAUAUA